UUACGGCCAUAUCACGUUGAAACAGCGGGUCCCAUACGAUCUUGAAGUUAAGCAACGUCGAGUCUGAUCAGUAUGUAGAUGGUUGUCUGCUUGGGAAUACCAGGUGCUGUAAG